rnacentral:rRNA from 1 species
CCUACGGGAGGCCGCAGUGGGGAAUAUUGCACAAUGGGGGAAACCCUGAUGCAGCAACGCCGCGUGAGUGAAGAAGUAUUUCGGUAUGUAAAGCUCUAUCAGCAGGGAAGAAGAUGACGGUACGUGAGUCAGAAGCCCCGGCUAACAACGUGCCAGCAGGCGCGGUAAUACGUAGGGGGCAAGGGUUAUACGGAUUUACUGGGUGUAAAGGGAGCGUAGAGGGUGAGACAAGUCUGAAGUGAAAGCUCGGGGCUCAACCCCGGGACUGCAUUGGAAACUGCCUGACUGGAGUGCAGGAGAGGCAAGCGGAAUUCGUGGUGUAGCGGUGAAAUGCGUAGAUAUUAGGAAGAACACCAGUGGCGAAGGCGGCUUGCUGGACAGUAACUGACGUUGAGGCUCGAAAGUGUGGGGAGCAAACAGGAUUAGAUACCCUAGUAGUC